rnacentral:rRNA from 1 species
AUUGAACGCUGGCGGCAUGCCUUACACAUGCAAGUCGAACGGCAGCACGGGAGCAAUCCUGGUGGCGAGUGGCGAACGGGUGAGUAAAGUAUCGGAACGUGCCCAGUCGUGGGGGAUAACGUAGCGAAAGUUACGCUAAUACCGCAUACGAUCUAUGGAUGAAAGCGGGGGAUCGCAAGACCUCGCGCGAUUGGAGCGGCCGAUAUCAGAUUAGGUAGUUGGUGGGGUAAAGGCUCACCAAGCCGACGAUCUGUAGCUGGUCUGAGAGGACGACCAGCCACACUGGGACGGAGACACGGCCCAGACUCCUACGGGAGGCAGCAGUGGGGAAUUUUGGACAAUGGGCGAAAGCCUGAUCCAGCCAUGCCGCGUGCAGGAUGAAGGCCUUCGGGUUGUAAACUGCUUUUGUACGGAACGAAAAGGUUUGGCCUAAUAAGCUGGGCUCAUGACGGUACCGUAAGAAUAAGCACCGGCUAACUACGUGCCAGCAGCCGCCGUAA